CCUACGGGAGGCAGCAGUGGGGAAUAUUGCACAAUGGGGGGAACCCUGAUGCAGCAACGCCGCGUGGGUGAAGAAGUACUUCGGUAUGUAAAGCUCUGUCAGCAGGGAAGAAAAUGACGGUACAUGACCAAGAAGCCCCGGCUAACUACGUGCCAGCAGCCGCGGUAAUACGUAGGGGGCAAGCGUUAUCCGGAUUUACUGGGUGUAAAGGGAGCGUAGACGGCAAGGCAAGUCUGGAGUGAAAGGCCGUGGCUCAACCACGGGACUGCUUUGGAAACUGUGUUGCUGGAGUGCAGGAGGGGUAAGCGGAAUUCCUAGUGUAGCGGUGAAAUGUGUAGAUAUUAGGAGGAACACCGGUGGCGAAGGCGGCUUACUGGACUGUAACUGACGUUGAGGCUCGAAGGCGUGGGGAGCAAACAGGAUUAGAUACCCCAGUAGUC
rnacentral:rRNA from 1 species